AAUUCGAUAGUUUGUUUCUUUGUGUCCGCACCACACCCUCAAGGGUGGUGGGGUGGACGUUAGCCAAGCCUCGUGUUCCUGGCAUGACUCGCUUAGUUACGUGGUUGCCUCGGCCCACGAGAUUCUUUGGCCGCGCUCUCGGAUGUAGAAUGUGAUGUGUUGCGGGUGGGUGGUCUCUCGGAGGCCUCCAUCUUAUAAAGCAAUGCAUAUUGUCCAAUGACACGAACGACUGUUGCGCUCGUUUUUGAGCCUGCAGCCUCAUAGGUUGGCAGGCUCAUG
rnacentral:misc_RNA from 1 species